UUUUUACAUGAAAAGAAUUUAAAUGGAUUCUUGUAUUUAAGGUUUUCUUAAAGAAGAAUUGAAUUCUUGGUUCCAAAGAAAAGAAUUCUUAAAAAAGAAAUCACUUAAUUAAAAUCUUGUAAAUUCUUACUCGAAACUAGACGUUGGAGGUUUUCUCUCACCUCAAAAAACUUCACUUUUCAACCCACUGAGCGUCAGGAGGUUUUGAUACUUUCACCUCCUAUGACCUUUACUUUAUAGAACCUUGAGUGGAGGGGUUAUAAUUGGGAUUUUGUUUUUGUUGUGAGGCAUGAAUAUUUUGUCGGGCGUCUGCUUUAUAAAUUGUGUUUAGGUGCUGGUUAAGCUGCUGUUGUUGUUGCUGUUAUUAUUAAAGUUUUAUCGACUGACACUAAUUUCUUUCCAUUUCCCCCUUUGCUUUCAGAGUUCUAUGGCUGGAAUAUAUAUCACUGUAAUAGAGAGUAGUAUAUAAAGCAUUGCUACUUAAUAGUGUUUAUGAUUUUUGCUACUCAAGAUGCAUUUAUUGUCUCAUGCUGGGGUGUUAAUGGUUUUAACCAUGCAGAGUUGGAGCCAACCAGUGAUAAAAGGUACGCCACCCACUCCAAGGGACAGCCACAGUUGUACUACUGUUGGCGACAAUCUGUUUGUGUUUGGGGGCACUGAUGGGAUAAACCCUCUUAAGGAUCUCCAUAUAUUAGAUACUUCAUCACAUACAUGGAUUUCUCCAACAGUGAGAGGGGAGGGACCAGAGGCACGGGAGGGUCAUAGUGCUGCUCUUGUUGGUAAACGUCUCUUCAUAUUUGGUGGCUGCGGAAAAUCUUCAAAUAAUGAUGAUGAUGUGUAUUACAAUGAUCUUUACAUUUUAAAUACAGAGACAUAUGUUUGGGAACAAGUGGCAGCAUCUGGUACCCCCCCUUCUGCACGUGAUAGCCAUACUUGCUCAUCUUUGAAGGGCAAAAUCAUUGUGAUUGGUGGUGAAGAUGGACGUGAUUAUUAUUUGUCUGAUGUACACAUCCUUGAUGCAGAAACUCUUGUAUGGAAGGAGCUCAACACUACAGGCCAGAGGUUGCCACCUCGAGCUGGUCACUCUACUGUUGCUUUUGGCAAUAAUUUAUUGGUGUUUGGUGGAUUUACAGAUGCUCAAAAUCUGUAUGACGACCUAUAUAUGCUUGAUGUUGACACUGGUGUAUGGACAAAGGUGAUGACUACAGGAAUUGGACCUUCUGCAAGAUUUUCUGUGGCGGGUGACUGUUUAGAUCCACAGAUGGGUGGUGUACUGGUUCUCAUAGGUGGUUGUGAUAAGAGUCUUGAGGCACUGGACGAUAUGUUUUUCUUGUACACAGGACUUACAAGCGUGCAAGAUGAAGGGCGACUAGAAAAGUUGCCCUUGCGGAAGCAAUUGAAGAUAAAGUGCCAAGAUCAAAAUCUUAACUCUCCUGUACAUGAUAAAGCUCUGGUUAGAAUUGAUGCAAGGACCGACUUGCACCAGACUGUGCCAACUUAUGCCCAGCCAAGCAGAGAGGAUUUGCAACUGAAGCAUGUGCAGCUUCAUCAAGGGAAGAAGACAUUUGAAGCCAAAGUCACUGAAAGCUUUGCCCAUGGCUAUACCAUUGAGACCAUUAUAGAUGGAAGGCCUUUACGUGGAAUAUUAUUUGCCAACAAGCCAAUCAUUCCCCAGAUGGCUAAUUGUAAUACUAGAAUCCUUAAGCAGGUUGCAGUUGAGCACAUACAACCAGGAAAUUCUCAUGGGAAGGAGACUGCAUCACAUGAACCCAAGACAGAAGCUGCUGUUGCUCCUGAUUUGAAGAACCUAGCAUCUUCUGAUGUUUCACAACUCCAUGAGGUUCAAUCCAGUACCAUUAGGAGCCCCAAAUUCUAAUGCUGAAUUUCCAAAUGCUGCCGAGGACUCUUAUCACUAUGUCCAUAAUUCAAGAUAGAAGGACACCAAGUCACCAACUUUCAAAGUAGUUCGUGAUCGAGGGAAAUCAAGUUUCAAUGGUGAAGAAUGAAAAUUUUUGAAUGUCAUGAUACUGAACCACCUGCCUUUGUACAUUAUCGACUUGAAGGUGGUAAUAGAUACGCUUGACUGGUGUUUCACAGAGUCUGCUAACUGGAGUAAUCUGCUAGUUCUUGCUUUUUUUUUUCCUUCUCCAACAACUAAUAGUCUCUUCUAUACUUAAAACAUUAGCUGUUCUAAUACCAUGAUUGAGUUCUGUUUGUAAAAUUUGCCAUGUCUUAUGAUCAGUUACUGCUCUGCUUUGCUCCAGAGCUGACUGCUCAAGACAGUGAGGAGGAAAAGAGGUUUGCUUUAUCAGAAACCAUUAACUGUCUGUGACAGAAUUUUGUUCUCAGAGUAGCUGAAGUAGGUUACCUUUCAGUUUAUGUCUCUUAGGUUAUAGUUUCACAGAAAGGGCACCAAUUUUUACUUCUUUUUUCUUUUUGUAAUUCUUUCUGAAGGGAAAUUAACUUGUGGAAUUACCAGUUAUAUAGAUUUUAUUUUCUUCA